UACAGAGGGUGCGAACGUUGCUCGGAAUUACUGGGCGUAAAGCGCAUGUAGGCGGAUCCAUAAGUCGGGCGUGAAAUCCCCAGGCUCAACCUGGGAACUGCGCUCGAAACUGUGGGUCUUGAGUGUCGGAGAGGAUGGCGGAAUUCCUGGUGUAGAGGUGAAAUUCGUAGAUAUCAGGAGGAACACCGGUGGCGAAGGCGGCCAUCUGGACGACAACUGACGCUGAGAUGCGAAAGCCAGGGGAGCAAACGGG
rnacentral:rRNA from 1 species